AUGAUCUUUGGAGUUGAAGGGGUUGAUCCUGUUAGGAGAGAGAAGCUGAUUGAUUUGCUUGAUAUCGAACUGCAUUGGCGAAUGCACAAAGUUUCUGAUGGGCAACGUCGUCGUGUGCAAAUUUGCAUGGGCCUCCUCCACCCCUACAAGGUACUGUUGCUCGAUGAAGUCACGGUUGACCUCGACGUUGUUACGAGAAUGGAUUUACUCGAUUUCUUCAAGGAAGAGUGUGAUGAGAGAGGCGCUACCAUUGUGUAUGCCACCCAUAUCUUCGACGGU
rnacentral:misc_RNA from 1 species